CCUGCGGAAGGAUCAUUAUUGAAUACGAUUGGUACUGAUGCUGGCCCUUCACUGGGCAUGUGCUCGUCCAUCUAUUUAUCUUCUCUUGUGCACAUCUUGUAGUCUUGGAUGAACCCUUGCGCAUUCGUGCGGUCUGGGAGUUGCGAAUUAAAACCUUGCUUCUCCUGCUUGUCCAAGGCUAUGUUUUCAUAUACACUAUAAAGUUACAGAAUGUCAAUUAACGACUUGUGCUUGUCACGGUCAUUAAACCUAUACAACUUUCAGCAACGGAUCUCUUGGCUCUCCUAUCGAUGAAGAACGCAGCGAAAUGCGAUAAGUAAUGUGAAUUGCAGAAUUCAGUGAAUCAUCGAAUCUUUGAACGCACCUUGCGCCCUUUGGUAUUCCGAAGGGCAUGCCUGUUUGAGUGUCAUUAAAUUAUCAACCUUGCUCGCUUUUACCGGCUUGAGUUAGGCUUGGAUGUGAGGGUCUUUGCUGGCUUCCUUCAGUGGAUGGUCUGCUCCCUUUAAAUGCAUUAGUGGGAUCUCUUGUGGACCGUCACUUGGUGUGAUAAUUAUCUAUGCCAUCUUGACUUUGAAGCAAACUAAUGGGAACCUG
rnacentral:rRNA from 1 species